GUACACGCUGUGACUAGCAUAUCAAUAAGCGGAGGAAAAGAAACUAACAAGGAUUCCCCUAGUAACGGCGAGUGAAGCGGGAAGAGCUCAAAUUUGAAAUCUUAAAGGGUUUCCCUUACGAAUUGUAGUUUAAAGAAGUGUUUUCUGUUGAGGUUUUGGUAAAAGUUCUUUGGAAUAGGACAUCAUAGAGGGUGAGAAUCCCGUAUUUGACCUUUACUUUCAACUUUGUGAUACACUUUCAAAGAGUCGGAUUGUUUGGGAAUGCAGUCCAAAAUGGGUGGUAAAUUUCAUCUAAAGCUAAAUAUUGGCGAGAGACCGAUAGCGAACAAGUACCGUGAGGGAAAGAUGAAAAGAACUUUGAAAAGAGAGUUAAACAGUACGUGAAAUUGUCAAAAGGGAAGCGUUUGACACCAGUGUUGUUUUUCUGAAAAUCAAUUAAAGAACUGUUUAUGCUAAGCUGUUUAGACUUUAUCAGCUAUCUGUUUAGUUUUGAGCUUUUCUUUAAUGCACUUUUCAGUUAACAAGUCAACAUCAAUUUCUUUUGCUGUAAAAAAGCUUGAGGAAGGUGGCUUGAGAUUCGUCUUAAGAGUUUAUAGCCUCUUGCCUAUGCAGUCGGAGAGAUUGAGGUCUGCAGCGUAGAUCCUUCGGGGCUAAAUGCAUUUGUGCUAAGUUAUAGCAUUUUAUAGACAACUUGUUGACUAUGAUUUGUCUUGUAGCUUACUCGCUUAUGUUAUUUUACCUACGCUUAGGAUGUUGAAGAUGUAGCACAUCAU
rnacentral:rRNA from 1 species